GGAGGCAGCAGGGAAUCUUGGGCAAUGGGCGAAAGCCUGACCCAGCGACGUCGCGUGGGGGACGAAGGCCUUAGGGUUGUAAACCCCUUUUCCGAGGGAAGAUACAGGACGGUACCUCGGGAAUAAGCCCCGGCUAACUACGUGCCAGCAGCCGCGGUAAUACGUAGGGGGCGAGCGUUACCCGGAAUCACUGGGCGUAAAGUGCGCGUAGGCGGUUGGAUAAGUCUCUUGUGAAAGCUCCCGGCUCAACUGGGAGAGGUCAAGGGAUACUAUUCGACUUGAGGACAACAGAGGUAAGCAGAAUUCCCGGUGUAGCGGUGGAAUGCGUAGAUAUCGGGAGGAACACCAGUGGCGAAAGCGGCUUACUGGGUUGUAACUGACGCUGAGGCGCGAGAGCGUGGGGAGCAAACUSGAUUAGAUACCCACGGUAGUCCACGCCCUAAACGAUGGAUACUAGGUAUGGGGGGUAUUGACCCCCUCCGUGCCGUAGCUAACGCGUUAAGUAUCCCGCCUG
rnacentral:rRNA from 1 species